rnacentral:rRNA from 1 species
CCUACGGGUGGCAGCAGUGGGGAAUAUUGGGCAAUGGGCGCAAGCCUGACCCAGCAAUGCCGCGUGAAGGAAGAAGGCUUUCGGGUUGUAAACUUCUUUGACAGGGGAAGAGCAGAAGACGGUACCCUGAAAACAAGCCACGGCUAACUACGUGCCAGCAGCCGCGGUAAAACGUAGGUGGCAAGCGUUGUCCGGAUUUACUGGGUGUAAAGGGCGUGUAGCCGGGAAGGCAAGUCAGAUGUGAAAUCUGGAGGCUCAACCUCCAAAUUGCAUUUGAAACUGUUUUUCUUGAGUACUGGAGAGGCAGACGGAAUUCCUUGUGUAGCGGUGAAAUGCGUAGAUAUAAGGAGGAACACCAGUGGCGAAGGCAGCUCACUGGACUGCAACUGACACUGAGGCUCGAAAGUGUGGGUAUCAAACAGGAUUAGAUACCCGAGUAGUC